rnacentral:tRNA from 1 species
AGUUAAUGAGCUUGAAUAAGCAUAUGUUUUGAAAUCAUAAGAUAGAAUAUAAAUUUCUAUUAACUU